CUACGGGAGGCAGCAGUGGGGAAUAUUGCACAAUGGGCGAAAGCCUGAUGCAGCAACGCCGCGUGAGUGAUGAAGGCCUUCGGGUUGUAAAACUCUGUCUUUGGGGACGAUAAUGACGGUACCCAAGGAGGAAGCCACGGCUAACUACGUGCCAGCAGCCGCGGUAAU
rnacentral:rRNA from 1 species